GGCUCAGGAUGAACGCUGGCGGCGUGCCUAACACAUGCAAGUCGAGCGAUUUCUUCGGAGAGAGCGGCGGACGGGUGAGUAACGCGUGGGUAACCUGCCCUGUACACACGGAUAACAUACCGAAAGGUAUGCUAAUACGGGAUAAUAUAUGAAAUUCGCAUGUUUUUCAUAUCAAAGCUUUAGCGGUACAGGAUGGACCCGCGUCUGAUUAGCUGGUUGGUGAGGUAACGGCUCACCAAGGCGACGAUCAGUAGCCGACCUGAGAGGGUGAUCGGCCACAUUGGAACUGAGACACGGUCCAAACUCCUACGGGAGGCAGCAGUAGGGAAUCUUCCGCAAUGGACGAAAGUCUGACGGAGCAACGCCGCGUGAGUGAUGAAGGCUUUCGGGUCGUAAAACUCUGUUGUUAGGGAAGAACAAGUGCUAGUUGAAUAAGCUGGCACCUUGACGGUACCUAACCAGAAAGCCACGGCUAACUACGUGCCAGCAGCCGCGGUAAUACGUAGGUGGCAAGCGUUAUCCGGAAUUAUUGGGCGUAAAGCGCGCGCAGGUGGUUUCUUAAGUCUGAUGUGAAAGCCCACGGCUCAACCGUGGAGGGUCAUUGGAAACUGGGAGACUUGAGUGCAGAAGAGGAAAGUGGAAUUCCAUGUGUAGCGGUGAAAUGCGUAGAGAUAUGGAGGAACACCAGUGGCGAAGGCGACUUUCUGGUCUGUAACUGACACUGAGGCGCGAAAGCGUGGGGAGCAAACAGGAUUAGAUACCCUGGUAGU
rnacentral:rRNA from 1 species